GGCCCAGACAGCCAGGAUGUUGGCUUAGAAGCAGCCAUCAUUUAAAGAAAGCGUAAUAGCUCACUGGUCGAGUCGGCCUGCGCGGAAGAUGUAACGGGGCUAAACCAUGCACCGAAGCUGCGGCAGCGACGCUUAUGCGUUGUUGGGUAGGGGAGCGUUCUGUAAGCCUGUGAAGGUGUACUGUGAGGUAUGCUGGAGGUAUCAGAAGUGCGAAUGCUGACAUAAGUAACGAUAAAGCGGGUGAAAAGCCCGCUCGCCGGAAGACCAAGGGUUCCUGUCCAACGUUAAUCGGGGCAGGGUGAGUCGACCCCUAAGGCGAGGCCGAAAGGCGUAGUCGAUGGGAAACAGGUUAAUAUUCCUGUACUUGGUGUUACUGCGAAGGGGGGACGGAGAAGGCUAUGUUGGCCGGGCGACGGUUGUCCCGGUUUAAGCGUGUAGGCUGGUUUUCCAGGCAAAUCCGGAAAAUCAAGGCUGAGGCGUGAUGACGAGGCACUACGGUGCUGAAGCAACAAAUGCCCUGCUUCCAGGAAAAGCCUCUAAGCAUCAGGUAACAUCAAAUCGUACCCCAAACCGACACAGGUGGUCAGGUAGAGAAUACCAAGGCGCUUGAGAGAACUCGGGUGAAGGAACUAGGCAAAAUGGUGCCGUAACUUCGGGAGAAGG
rnacentral:rRNA from 1 species